rnacentral:pre_miRNA from 1 species
UCCUUCAUUCCACCGGAGUCUGUCUCAUACGUAAUCAGAUUUCAAUGGAGUGAAGCACA